rnacentral:lncRNA from 10 species
UUUCUUUCAACCUUCUGUGUCUCUAAUGUCAGCUCAAGCUUCUCUUGACCAGAGGUAUAAUUAGGGUCAGUAUCAUCAUCACUUUUCAUCAAUUGUCAUUGGCUUUUAAGUAGCUCUUUCUUUAAAACCCCCUGCCCUUAAAAUUAGAGCUUUUUAUUUAAAAAUUCAAUAAUUUUUCUUAAAAACCAAUCUCUCUGAACUGCUGUAGUUCUUUAAGUCAACAUCACACAUCAUAUGGACAAUUUGCCAUUGUGACCUUACUUCUACAUAUAGAAAUUGUGAUUUCUCCAUCUUUAAAAAAUUCAUUGUUUAUCUAUCUCUUAAACUCUUUGAAAUAGUGAUCUCUGCUUAUCUCUCCUGUUUCUUUCCAAAAUUAUUAUAAGGCAGUUUUA